CUCUCUUUAGCUCAGUUGGUUAGAGUGAUGCACCAGCAUCGCAGGGCUGCAGGUUCGAUUCCUGCGCGAGAGG